rnacentral:rRNA from 1 species
AGCGAACGUUUGCGGCGGGCUUAACACAUGCAAGUCGAACGAGAAUCCCUUCGGGGAGGAAAGUGGCGCACGGGUGCGUAACACGUGGAUAACCUACCCAUUGGUUUGGGACAACACCGGGAAACUGGUGCUAAUACCAGAUGUGUCGCAGCUGUCUUCAGGCGGUUGCGAGAAAGGCCCGCAAGGGUCGCCAACGGACGGGUCCGCGUCCCAUCAGCUAGUUGGUGAGGUAAUGGCUCACCAAGGCAAAGACGGGUAGCUGGUCUGAGAGGAUGAUCAGCCACACUGGAACUGAGACACGGUCCAGACUCCUACGGGAGGCAGCAGUGGGGAAUAUUGCGCAAUGGGCGAAAGCCUGACGCAGCCACGCCGCGUGAGCGAUGAAGGUCUUCGGAUCGUAAAGCUCUGUGGGGGGAGAAGAAGAAAGCCGGUGAAGAGCCGGCCCUGACGGUAUCCCCUUAGCAAGCACCGGCUAACUCCGUGCCAGCAGCCGCGGUAAUGU